rnacentral:ncRNA from 1 species
GGGGAAGUCCGGUGCGAAUCCGGCGCUGACCCGCAACGGUAUGCGCGACGAGCGGAAACGCUUCCGCGCGAGCCCGAUCGCCC